rfam:Halomonadaceae bacterium T82-2 scaffold_176, whole genome shotgun sequence.
CCCCCCACGCCUCUCAUGGAAGCGCACCUUGGGGGGU